UGGGGAAUUUUGCGCAAUGGGCGAAAGCCUGACGCAGCAACGCCGCGUGGAGGAUGAAGGUCUUCGGAUCGUAAACUCCUGUCAGUGGGGACGAAAGCCCGAAAGGGUUUGACUGUACCCGCUGAGGAAGCCACGGCUAACUCCGUGCCAGCAGCCGCGGUAAUACGGAGGUGGCAAGCGUUGUUCGGAAUUACUGGGCGUAAAGGGCGCGUAGGCGGCAUGGCAAGUCAGAUGUGAAAGCCCCGGGCUUAACUCGGGAAUUGCAUCUGAAACUGCUGUUGCUUGAGUCCUGGAGGGGGGUAGUGGAAUUCCCAGUGUAGCGGUGAAAUGCGUAGAUAUUGGGAGGACACCGGCGGCGAAGGCGGCUACCUGGACAGUGACUGACGCUGAGGCGCGAAAGCCAGGGGGAGCGAAACGGGGAUUAGAGUACCCCGGUAGUCCUGGCUGUAAACGAUGGGCACUUGGUGUCGGGGGUAUUGAGUCCCCCGGUGCCGGAGUUAC
rnacentral:rRNA from 1 species